rnacentral:rRNA from 1 species
GAGCGGCGGACGGGUGAGUAACGCGUGGGUAACCUGCCCUGUACACACGGAUAACAUACCGAAAGGUAUGCUAAUACGAGAUAAUAUGCUUUUAUCGCAUGGUAGAAGUAUCAAAGCUUUUGCGGUACAGGAUGGACCCGCGUCUGAUUAGCUAGUUGGUGAGGUAACGGCUCACCAAGGCGACGAUCAGUAGCCGACCUGAGAGGGUGAUCGGCCACAUUGGAACUGAGACACGGUCCAAACUCCUACGGGAGG